UAACGCGUGGGUAACCUGCCUUAUACAGGGGGAUAACAGUCAGAAAUGGCUGCUAAUACCGCAUAAGCGCACAGAGCUGCAUGGCUCAGUGUGAAAAACUCCGGUGGUAUAAGAUGGACCCGCGUUGGAUUAGCUAGUUGGCGGGGUAACGGCCCACCAAGGCGACGAUCCAUAGCCGGCCUGAGAGGGUGAACGGCCACAUUGGGACUGAGACACGGCCCAG
rnacentral:rRNA from 1 species